rnacentral:rRNA from 1 species
UACGUAGGGCGCAAGCGUUGUCCGGAAUUAUUGGGCGUAAAGAGCUCGUAGGCGGUCUGUCGCGUCGGCUGUGAAAACACGGGGCUCAACUCCGUGCCUGCAGUCGAUACGGGCAGACUAGAGUUCGGUAGGGGAGACUGGAAUUCCUGGUGUAGCGGUGAAAUGCGCAGAUAUCAGGAGGAACACCGGUGGCGAAGGCGGCAUCCUGGACCGGCAUUGACGCUGAGGCGCGAAAGCUAGGGGAGCAAACGGG